rnacentral:rRNA from 1 species
GUGAAAUUGAACUCGCUGUGAAGAUGCAGUGUACCCGCGGCAAGACGGAAAGACCCCGUGAACCUUUACUAUAGCUUGACACUGAACAUUGAGCCUUGAUGUGUAGGAUAGGUGGGAGGCUUUGAAGCGUGGACGCCAGUCUGCGUGGAGCCGACCUUGAAAUACCACCCUUUAAUGUUUGAUGUUCUAACGUGGACCCGUGAUCCGGGUUGCGGACAGUGUCUGGUGGGUAGUUUGACUGGGGCGGUCUCCUCCUAAAGAGUAACGGAGGAGCACGAAGGUUGGCUAAUCCUGGUCGGACAUCAGGAGGUUAGUGCAAUGGCAUAAGCCA